UUAAGAAGCUCGCAGUUGAAUUUCGGGGUUAGUCGGUUGGUCAUGCCUCUGGAAUGUACUGGUCUCACUGAUUCCUCCUUCCUGAUGAACCGUAACGCCAUUAAUUUGGUGUUGCGGGCAAUUUGGACUGUUACUUUGAAAAAAUUAGAGUGUUUAAAGCAAGCUAACGCUUGAAUACAUUAGCAUGGAAUAAUGAAAUAGGACGUUCGAUCCUAUUUUGUUGGUUUCUAGGAUUGACGUAAUGAUUAAUAGGGAUAGUUGGUGG
rnacentral:rRNA from 1 species